CAGGUUCCUGCUUAUCAUGUCACACUGUUGGGAAAACAACCUGUGAGUGAAAUUGUAGCAUUCAUCUAGUUGCAUGGCGUCAGCGGAAAAGUAUCAGUCCUAACUCCAAGACCACACUUCUCCUUUCCCAUGUUCAUUAACCCUAGAACACUGUUGCUGGGUGAUUUUCACCGACCAAACAUGUUCAAGUGAUUUUCAUUAUGUUGUGUUUGUCCGAGUAUCAUGGGUCUCUGGGUAGCUUCAGCAUUGCCUUUGACAUCUUUGAAGGCAUAUUUGUUUUCCUGAUCCAGAACCUGUUUUUUCCUACAGGCACGUGUUCGGGUGAUUUUCACCCGGCAAUAGUGAUAGAGGGUAAGUAGGUUUGGGUGGAUUUGAUAGCUGCAUGUAGAUGAAUAAGGUCAAUAAUAGUGGUCCUGAAAUUUGCAUGCUAUCUUUAUUUAGCGCAGUGGUUAUGAAUAACUAUCACAAAGUAGUGAUUUCCAAGGGAAUUCAUAUGGUGAUAAGAAAUAUUUUAGUCAACUGGUCAUUCAGCUGGUCACUCAAAAUCUGCCAUAUUUUGGUUCUCUCUCCUGCAGCUGUUAUUGUGCCAAGGACCCUGAGUCUUCACCAGGGAAGACUCACAUGCACAAGGAAUAAGUGGGAAAAAAAACUAAGUUUACAUUUUCUAAAAUUUUUAAUUUUUAGGAUUUUUUUGUUCAUGAAUGCCUAAUUUCAGUUAUCUUGUUGCAUUAUUAUAUGGUCCCUUAAUGGCACUUUUUCCCCUCCCUUUGGACAUUGCACAGUUAAAAAAAAAAAAGAAAACUACUUUAAUUUGUCAUGUGUUUUCCUAUUUUGAUAUAUUUUGAUGACAAGUACUUUUUCUUGGGUAUAUUAAUUUGGGUAAAAAUCACCCAGUGAUAGUGAUGGUGUUACUAAUUUUAGUGAUAGUGUUCUAGGGUUAAAAAUAAAUAGAUGUAACCCUGCAAGCAUUCACACCAAGUGAUUUUCAGUAGAUGAGGAUUCACAUAUGUAUAUAAUGAUAAAAUACACAAGUGAUAGCAUACACAUACAAUUUUUUUUCAACACAUUAGGAAGAUCCUGUGAGGCUCUUGUUGCUCCCAUUAUAUUGAGUAAGCCAUUAAAGUUGAAGUAAUUACUGUAAUUAUCCCUAACCAUUAUGUGCAUGUUACCCUGGAACCAGAGUUGUACAGAUUCUUGUAGCAGGUAAAUAUUGAG